rnacentral:tRNA from 1 species
CAAGUUGAAGCUUUAUAAAGUUUUUUAUUUACAUUAAAAUUAUUACUGUUAAAUUCAGUGCAAUUUGA